CAAAGCACUUUGAAGAGAGAGUUAAAGAGAACGUGAAACCGGUAGGAUGGAAACGGAUAGAGCUAGCGAAGCCGUUCGUACUCAGCUGAUACAACGGGCUCUUUGCUGGUUGCAUUGUUAAAAGGCGGCUAGUGAUGUAGUCCUGUGGUAGAAGUGCAUUUACGAGCGAUUGCGCUGAGACUUGUGGGGCAGUGGCUGGAUGCUUGACUAGAGGCUUCCCACUGGGUUGUACCUUGUCGGGACGACAGUUAUUUGCUCUGCUCGUACGGGCUUGGCCUACGAACCCUGUUGCUUAGGCGGUGCACGGUGGUGGAGUCACAUGUGACGCUCAUUGCCGGGUGCUUUCUCUGUAGCUUGUUGUUCACUUGCCCACUUUCGGUGUAGAAGCUGGUCAUCUAUCCGACCCGUCUUGAAACACGGACCAAGGAGUUUAGCGUAUGCGCGAGCCAUUGGGCCUUUAAAACCCACAGGCACAAUGAAAGUGAAGGCCCAGUCGCUGGGCUUACAUGUGAGUGUGAAGUCUUCGGACAACCACGCAACAUGGUCCCGUUCUAAUUGCUUGCAAUGGAGCGGAGAUAGAGCGUAUGCGCUGAGACCCGAAAGAUGGUGAACUAUUCCUGAGCAGGACGAAGCCAGUGGAAACUCUGGUGGAAGUCCGAAGCGAUUCUGACGUGCAAAUCGAUCGUCUGA
rnacentral:rRNA from 1 species